rnacentral:rRNA from 1 species
ACAGGGAUUGCCCUAGUAACGGCGAGUGAAGCGGCAACAGCUCAAAUUUGAAAUCUGGCUUCGGCCCGAGUUGUAAUUUGUAGAGGAAGCUUUUGGUGAGGCACCUUCUGAGUCCCCUGGAACGGGGCGCCAUAGAGGGUGAGAGCCCCGUAUAGUCGGAUGCCGAUCCAAUGUAAAGCUCCUUCGACGAGUCGAGUAGUUUGGGAAUGCUGCUCAAAAUGGGAGGUAAAUUUCUUCUAAAGCUAAAUACCGGCCAGAGACCGAUAGCGCACAAGUAGAGUGAUCGAAAGAUGAAAAGCACUUUGAAAAGAGGGUUAAAUAGCACGUGAAAUUGUUGAAAGGGAAGCGUUUGUGACCAGACUUGCGCCGUUCCGAUCAUCCGGUGUUCUCACCGGUGCACUCGGGACGGCUCAGGCCAGCAUCGGUUUUGGCGGGGGGAUAAAGGUCCGGGGAACGUAGCUCCUCCGGGAGUGUUAUAGCCCCGGGCGUAAUGCCCUCGCCGGGACCGAGGUUCGCGCAUCUGCAAGGAUGCUGGCGUAAUGGUCAUCAACGACCCGUCUUGAAACACGGACCAAGGAGUCAAGGUUUUGCGCGAGUGUUUGGGUGUAAAACCCGCACGCGUAAUGAAAGUGAACGUAGGUGAGAGCUUCGGCGCAUCAUCGACCGAUCCUGAUGUAUUCGGAUGGAUUUGAGUAAGAGCGUUAAGCCUUGGACCCGAAAGAUGGUGAACUAUGCUUGGAUAGGGUGAAGCCAGAGGAAACUCUGGUGGAGGCUCGCAGCGGUUCUGACGUGCAAAUCGAUCGUCAAAUCUGAGCAUGGGGGCGAAAGACUAAUCGA